rnacentral:rRNA from 1 species
ACCGAAUAGAUACCCAGGUAGUCCACGCCCUAAACGAUGAGAACUAGACGUUGGAAGGGUUAGCCUUUCAGUGUUGUAGCUAAACGCGUUAAAGUUCUCCGCCUGGGGAGUACGGCCGCAAGGUUGAAACUCAAAUGAAUUGACGGGGCCCGGCACAAGCGGUGGAGCAUGUGGUUUAAUUCGAUGCAACGCGAAGAACCUUACCUGGCCUUGACAUCCUCGGAACCCUGCUGAGAGGUGGGGUGGCCUUCGGGAGCCGAGAGACAGGUGCUGCAUGGCUGUCGUCAGCUCGUGUCGUGAGAUGUUGGGUUAAGUCCCGCAACGAGCGCAACCCUGCCCACUAGUUGCCAGCGGUUUGGUCCGGGCACUCUAGGGGGACUGCCGUUGACAAACGGAGGAAGGUGGGGAUGACGUCAAGUCAUCAUGGCCCGUUAUGGCCGAGGGCGUACACACGUGCUACAAUGGCCGGUACAGAGGGUAGCCAAGCAGCGAUGUGGAGCUAAUCUCAGAAAGCCGGU